AGAUAUGUGAGUAACCUGGCCAUAUCAUCUGUCAUUCCACUGAUUGCCAGGCUUGAUUUGGCUAAUCUGCUGACUUGGAGCAUUCCUUUUUCUCCCCCACCACUCCAUAUGCAGCCCUUUUGAAGCUACAUAGUUAAAGUGAGGACCUUCCCUUAAUAGAGGAGGACCAAUAGAAGAGAACCAUUUUUGGUUAAGGCUAUAUGAAUAGCUGCACUUCUCUGAUAGAACCUCCAAAAAAACUCUCAAAAUACUCAAAGGAAAAGUAAAUGACUAAUAAAGAGCACUGUAUCUGGCAAAGCUGUACUGA
rnacentral:snRNA from 1 species